AUGCUGCCCCUUCAAGUCCUCAUUUCAGGCCUCCUCCUCCUUCUCCCAGUUUGGACUACCACAGUGACGUCUUCACCUUGCCCUUGUGUAAGCACAUCCCUGGAAAAUAUCGUGAAUGUUUUUGAUGGGAUGUUCACUUUUUCCUUUCAACUCCUCCCGACUUCCCUCCACCCCAUUUUAGAGUGCAGACACAGAAAAAAGAAGAGUCUAGAAAGCUCAGUUGUCUUCCAUGGAUUUCAGAAUGAAGUUUUUCAAAGUACAGCCCAACCCCAAGCUGUGGACAACGUCUACAUCAUCAAAGGCAGUCAACUUCCAGUUGCGCAUUGA
rnacentral:lncRNA from 1 species